GCUGGGCAUGGUGGCGCAUGCCUGUGAUCCCAGGGGCUUAGGAGUCUGAGACAGGAGAAUCAUGAGUUCAAAGCCAGCUUCAGCAACUCAGUGAGACCCUGUCUCUA
rnacentral:sRNA from 1 species